GGGGAAUAUUGGGCAAUGGGCGCAAGCCUGACCCAGCAACGCCGCGUGAAGGAAGAAGGCUUUCGGGUUGUAAACUUCUUUUCUUAGGGACGAAGCAAGUGACGGUACCUAAGGAAUAAGCCACGGCUAACUACGUGCCAGCAGCCGCGGUAAUACGUAGGUGGCAAGCGUUAUCCGGAUUUACUGGGUGUAAAGGGCGUGUAGGCGGGAUUGCAAGUCAGAUGUGAAAACCACGGGCUCAACCUGUGGCCUGCAUUUGAAACUGUAGUUCUUGAGUACUGGAGAGGCAGACGGAAUUCCUAGUGUAGCGGUGAAAUGCGUAGAUAUUAGGAGGAACACCAGUGGCGAAGGCGGUCUGCUGGACAGCAACUGACGCUGAGGCGCGAAAGCGUGGGGAGCAAACAGGAUUAGAUACCCUGGUAGUCCACGCUGUAAACGAUGGAUACUAGGUGUGGGGGGUCUGACCCCCUCCGUGCCGCAGUUAACACAAUAAGUAAUCCACCUGGGGAGUACGACCGCAAGGUUGAAACUCAAAGGAAUUGACGGGGGCCCGCACAAGCAGUGGAGUAUGUGGUUUAAUUCGACGCAACGCGAAGAACCUUACCAAGUCUUGACAUCCCUUGACAGGCAUAGAAAUAUGUUUUCUCUUCGGAGCAAGGAGACAGGUGGUGCAUGGUUGUCGUCAGCUCGUGUCGUGAGAUGUUGGGUUAAGUCCCGCAACGAGCGCAACCCUUAUGGUCAGUUACUACGCAAGAGGACUCUGGCCAGACUGCCGUUGACAAAACGGAGGAAGGUGGGGAUGACGUCAAAUCAUCAUGCCCUUUAUGACUUGGGCUACACACGUACUACAAUGGCGUUAAACAAAGAGAAGCAAGACCGCGAGGUGGAGCAAAACUCAGAAACAACGUCCCAGUUCGGACUGCAGGCUGCAACUCGCCUGCACGAAGUCGGAAUUGCUAGUAAUCGUGGAUCAGCAUGCCACGGUGAAUACGUUCCCG
rnacentral:rRNA from 1 species